UUAAGUUAACAAGGGCGCAUGGUGAAUGCCUUGGCACUAGGAGCCGAUGAAGGACGGGACUAACACCGAUAUGCUUCGGGGAGCUGUACGUAAGCUAUGAUCCGGAGAUUUCCGAAUGGGGCAACCCAGCAGUUUUAAUCAACUGUUACCACUAGAUGAAUUCAUAGUCUAGUUGGAGGUAAACGCUGUGAACUGAAACAUCUCAUUAGCAGCAGGAAUAUAAAGAAAUUUCGAUUCCCUAAGUAGCGGCGAGCGAACGGGGAACAGCCCAAACCAAAGUGCUUGCACUUUGGGGUUGUAGGACUGAACAUUUGAGUUACCAAAGAACUUGAUAGUCGAAGGAUUUGGGAAAAUCCGCCAUAGAUGGUGAUAGCCCAGUAGAUUAAAUCAAAUUCUCUCAGUUCAGGAUCCUGAGUACGGCGGAACACGUGAAAUUCCGUCGGAAUCCGGGAGGACCAUCUCCCAAGGCUAAAUACUACCUAGUGACCGAUAGUGAACCAGUACCGUGAGGGAAAGGUGAAAAGCACCCCGGGAGGGGAGUGAAAUAGUUCCUGAAACCAUGUGCCUACAAUAAGUCAGAGCGCGUUAAUGCGUGAUGGCGUGCCUUUUGUAGAAUGAACCGGCGAGUUAUGAUCCCGUGCAAGGUUAAGACUAAAAAGUCGGAGCCGUAGCGAAAGCGAGUCUGAAAUGGGCGUUUUGAGUACGAGGUUAUAGACCCGAAACCAGGUGACCUAUCCAUGUCCAGGUUGAAGGUGCGGUAAAACGCACUGGAGGACCGAACCCGUGUAAGUUGAAAAUUGCUGGGAUGAGGUGUGGAUAGCGGUGAAAUUCCAAACGAACUUGGAGAUAGCUGGUUCUCUCCGAAAUAGCUUUAGGGCUAGCCUCGGAAUUAGGAUCAUGGAGGUAGAGCACUAUUUGGACUAGGGGCCCGUCUUGGGUUACUGAAUUCAGAUAAACUCCGAAUGCCAUUGAUUCAUAUCCGGGAGUCAGACGAUGAGUGAUAAGAUCCACCGUCGAAAGGGGAACAGCCCAGACCAUCAGUUAAGGUCCCUAAAUGUAUGCUAAGUGGAAAAGGAUGUGGAGUUGCAUAGACAACUAGGAUGUUGGCUCAGAAGCAGCCACCAUUUAAAGAGUGCGUAAUAGCUCACUAGUCGAGUGAUCCUGCGCCGAAAAUGUACCGGGGCUAAGCAUACUACCGAAACCAUGGAUGCGACCAUUAGGUCGCGUGAUAGGAGAGCGUUCUAAGGGCGGUGAAGCAAGAUCGUGAGGACUUGUGGAGCGCUUAGAAGUGAGAAUGCCGGUAUGAGUAGCGAAAGAUAGGUGAGAAUCCUAUCCACCGAAUGACUAAGGUUUCCUGGGGAAGGCUCGUCCUCCCAGGGUUAGUCGGGACCUAAGUCGAGGCCGAGAGGCGUAGACGAUGGAUAACAGGUUGAGAUUCCUGUACUAGUUAAGUGCGUUUGAGCAAUGGAGGGACGCAGGAGGCUAAGAUGUGCAUUCUGUUGGAUUAGAAUGUCCAAGCAGUAAGUCUUGUGAAGAGUCAAAUGCUUUUCACUUUAAGGACAAGCUGUGAUGGGGAGCGAAAUUUAGUAGCGAAGCGUCUGAUGUCACACUGCCGAGAAAAGCUUCUAGUGAGUACUUAACUACCCGUACCGCAAACCGACACAGGUAGUCGAGGAGAGAAUCCUAAGGUGAGCGAGUGAACUCUCGUUAAGGAACUCGGCAAAAUGACCCCGUAACUUCGGGAGAAGGGGUGCUGAUCGCAAGAUCAGCCGCAGUGAAUAGGCCCAGGCGACUGUUUAUCAAAAACACAGGUCUCUGCAAAAUCGUAAGAUGACGUAUAGGGGCUGACGCCUGCCCGGUGCUGGAAGGUUAAAAGGAUGGGUUAGCUUCGGCGAAGCUCAGAAUUGAAGCCCCAGUAAACGGCGGCCGUAACUAUAACGGUCCUAAGGUAGCGAAAUUCCUUGUCGGGUAAGUUCCGACCCGCACGAAAGGCGUAACGAUCUGGGCACUGUCUCAACGAGAGACUCGGUGAAAUUAUAUUGUCCGUGAAGAUGCGGACUACCCGCGACAGGACGGAAAGACCCCAUGGAGCUUUACUGUAGCUUGAUAUUGAGUGUUUGUACAGCUUGUACAGGAUAGGUAGGAGCCAUAGAAACCGGAACGCUAGUUUCGGUGGAGGCGUUGGUGGGAUACUACCCUCGCUGUAUGACCACUCUAACCCGCACCACUAAUCGUGGUGGGAGACAGUGUCAGGUGGGCAGUUUGACUGGGGCGGUCGCCUCCUAAAAAGUAACGGAGGCGCCCAAAGGUUCCCUCAGAAUGGUUGGAAAUCAUUCGCAGAGUGUAAAGGCACAAGGGAGCUUGACUGCGAGACAGACAGGUCGAGCAGGGACGAAAGUCGGGCUUAGUGAUCCGGUGGUACCGUAUGGAAGGGCCAUCGCUCAACGGAUAAAAGCUACCCUGGGGAUAACAGGCUUAUCUCCCCCAAGAGUCCACAUCGACGGGGAGGUUUGGCACCUCGAUGUCGGCUCAUCGCAUCCUGGGGCUGUAGUCGGUCCCAAGGGUUGGGCUGUUCGCCCAUUAAAGCGGUACGCGAGCUGGGUUCAGAACGUCGUGAGACAGUUCGGUCCCUAUCCGUCGCGGGCGUAGGAAAUUUGAGAGGACCUGUCCUUAGUACGAGAGGACCGGGAUGGACAUACCUCUGGUGUACCAGUUGUGCCGCCAGGCGCAUCGCUGGGUAGCUACGUAUGGAUGUGAUAAACGCUGAAAGCAUCUAAGUGUGAAACACACCUCGAGAUGAGAUUUCCCAUUCCUUUAUGGAAGUAAGACCCCUGAAAGAUGAUCAGGUAGAUAGGUUAGAAGUGGCAGUGCGGUGACGCAUGAAGCGGACUAAUACUAAUCGGUCGAGGACUUAACCAA
rnacentral:rRNA from 9 species